AUGAUCGUGUAAAUGGAUGCAUCAAAUCACAGUGCUCGAAAAGUCUUCUUGGACUACUCUCUUACCUCAUCUUCAUAGGUCACCUAGGACAUGUUGGAGGAAUACUGUUUCCGGAUACUACCCAAGCAGGCUGCAAUGGCAUGAGCAUCCUGCCUCAGCACCGAGAUACACAAGUCAGAUACCACUUGGCUGCCCUGGUAAGGCAUAACACCAUGUACCUGCGCCAGGAGACAUGGAGCAGCUACUGGAGCAAGCUAGCUGUCAAACAAUGGCCUGUUGGAAAUCUCCUGGCAUUUGCCAGGAAAAUGAGAGGAGAAAGGAAGAUCUCAGAGAGGGACGGCAGGCUCGGGUGUGAUCCAUCUUAAAUUUGUUUUCAGCUUCUCCACCUUAAGGAUCAUCACUGAACCUGGAGCUCACCCAUUGGCUAGACUGAACCUGGAGCUCACCCACUGGCUAGACUGAACCUGGAGCUCACCCAUUGGCUAGACUGAACCUGGAGCUCACCCAUUGGCUAGACUGAAUCUAGAGCUCACUCAUUGACUAGACUGAACCUGGAGCUCACCCAUUGGCUAGACUGAAUCUAGAGCUCACCCAUUGGCUAGAAUGAACCUGGAGCUCACCUAUUGGCUAGACUAUAUGGCCACAUUCUCCUGUUUCCAUCUCCCUGUCUCUGGAACGACAGGUGGAUGCCAUAGUGCCUGGCCUUUUAUGUGAGUGUAGGGAUCUGAACUCAGCUCCUCAUGCUUUCCUAGAAAACACUUUAUCAGCUGUGUCUUGUCUUUGCUCCCUGUAUGUGCAUUUUGAGAUGUUAGUAAGACUUAGUUUUCAGAUAGUGUGAAUGAGAAUUUGGGGGGCAAGAAAUGCUGUGUGCAAAAUAUUUCUGUACAGGGAAUGUCAGGAAGAUGGACUUGACUAGAAUGUGGGGCAUGCUCAGAGAACAAGUAGGAGAGAAUGGAUGGAGUUGGAGUAGUGUCUAGUGUAGAAACUAUAACCACACACUCACAUAGAAAUGAUACAAAUAAUAUAGUGAGAGUCUAGAUGUGUUUGUGGCUUUUUACAGGUGAGUUACAUGAGAGCAAAGGAGCUGAAAGACUAGCCAAGUUUCUUUCUGAAAUGAAUGGGUAUAAAAGUUGAAUUAGAAGCCAAAGGUUCUGCCAUGGAAAGAUCUUUGUAAUCCCUGUGUAAGGCAAUAAGGACUUAAAUGAAUGUAAACAGAUUUUUUCACUGGCUACAGAUGUAGAAAAAGAUUGGGGGCGUUAAAUAAGUAUGAACCCAGGGAGUUUAAGUAGCUGCACGUCAUUGAAAUUUCAGACUGCUGUUGCUUCUGAUAGCAGUGGACAGACUGAGCAAGGUACCGUUCAGGGGAUGAGAUUCACGAAUAUGGGUACCACCACCGUCUUGCUGAGAAGAUGAAUGUGGUGCGGACUUGGAAAGUGGUUAGAAAAACCCCAGUAGAAAUAGAUGACUUAGGACAUGCUUUUGAAGAAGGGGCAGCAUAUGAACCACUCAUCCCAUCACUAUUGCUGUCACCACCGUCAAAAAGCCUGUAUUAGUCCCAAGGAGGGGUGGGUGAACGUAUUUAUACAGUUAAACAUAUGGAUGGACAAAAUUCAAAUUUAGAUGAAGUUCACGUAAAAAAAAAAACCACAAAAAGGUGGAAAACAAUGGGUGUUUGACAAAUAGAAUAAACAAAUAGAGAGAGAUUCAGUCAUGGAGCCAUGAUAUGGCAGUGAAUUCCGGAAGGGAAAGGGGAUUUGCCAGAGAGGAGAGGCUGAACCUCCUUACCAGAAUGCUGUUUGAGAAAGACACAGCUGAGGCUGAAAGAAGCUUGGAGCUCUCCCAGGGUAACUUUCCUGUCAGAAAUCAGGCUCAGAAGCUGUGCCCAGCCGUGGCACACAGUUCCCGGGCCUUAGGAAAAGGGCUGGCUCUCAUUUGCAUAUUUAGACAAUAGCAUAAGGGCUUGGUGAGCUCAUUGCAUUGGGGUACAAUAUGGAAGAAGAGAGAUUUGCUGGGAUGAGGGGUUAUGCAAGAGGUUAAGUGAAGUGCGUGUAUUCUACAAGAAUAGACAUGGAUAUAGGUCGAGAAAGAGAAGAAAGGGUCAGUGAGCCUAAGAGGGUCACGGUCUGGGAAGGAGAGGGCCUGUAGACUAAGAGACAGGAGGUGGCAAUCCACAGACACACUGAAAGGCUAUUUUCUUUUCCUUUAUCCACCCACUAAGCAGCGCCUAAUAUAGUACUUUUAAGAAUACUGUUUGUGUAACAGCAACAUGCUAAUUUAUUAAUUGGGGAGAAGAAUGGCUCUUUGGAGAGUCAGGAAGAGACCAGGGGCGAGGCGCAGAGGCAGGCCUUGGGUCUAACUUGUGGCACAUGCCCUGUGUGCUGAGGAGAAAGAAAAUCCAGAAGCUUCACUUUUGGCUGCUGCAAAGAAAAUGGCUGCUGUUUUAGUCGAUUUUAAAGAUAAUGAUUUUUUUUUAAAGCUGUUUGACUCCUUUAUAACUCCUACCCACAUUGAAGUAAUAGGCCAGACAUUCAGAUCAAACUGUCCCUCCAGGAGGAGACACUUGCCAAGGAAACCUUGGCCAGAUGGGAGCUGGAGAAAGAGGUUCAGAACUGAGAGCGGUUUGCCUGCCCAGUGAGUUUGGAUUUAAACCAGGUGUCCCCAGGGUAGAAGGCCCAAGUGUUGCCAGUGAAGAGCAGGGAUGUAAGCUGCCAUUGUGUGAAAACAAGCUAGGUGGUGUGGUUGCAGGGAAUAUGGUCCAAGUAUCCUAAGUGCGUCUGUUUGAUAAUGCUUUUGAGUGGCUAUCCCAGGAUUUGUGCGUGCCUCGAGGUGCCUUUGUUUCCCAGUUUCCAGAGGCGUGAACAAGGCCAUGUCUUAACAAAAGCACUAGGUGGCAGCACAGGACAUCUAUUCGAUAGUCUCUCGCCACAGGCUGCUGGAAUUUUGACAGAUACAAAACGGUACCUGUGGUUUUGUGUAUAAAACUGGUAUAACUGUUUGUACAUUUAAAAACUGUAACAAUAAAUUAAACAUAAGGGAGAGGCUUUGCUAAUAAACACAGUGUUAGACUGCAUUUUUGUGUACCAGGUGACAAGCUUGGGCAUUCAAACCUGAUUUGUAUAGGGGAUGGGCAGGAUGGGAAACAGGCCGAAGGAACUGCAAAAUGUACAUGCCGGGUGGCUGCAGCUUCCUUCAGGGUUGUUGUUGAUAUGUCCAUCUGUCUGUGUGCACUACACAGAGGUGAAAAUUUUAGGGAAGUGAGGGGUAUGGUAUGUCUGAACGUCUGGAUGCAUUGAAUCUAGGAAGAAAGCACUCUGUAAUUCCCAGCUUAUGAUUUGGUGGGAAGGUGAAAGUGUGAGCAUGUUACGUUAAUUUGCCUGGAAGAGGCACAUGUCAUACUUUUCACGCUCUUAUCUACUAUUUAGAAAGUGACCCCUUAAGCCUACGCACAUCCUAGUCUAGAGGGCUAGGUUUGAUGCAUGCUGCCAUAUUUGGCUGUGCAUUUUCUUGAUCAGAACAAGCUGCUGUCUGAGACACUAAGCUUGCUUCAGCAAGGCUCAUUUGACAAUCUACCAAGACGCAAAGCCCAAACAUUUCCAAAGCCAUGCAUAGCAGACUGUACUUAGCCACAGGGGCUCUCCCUCACUCUCCUUAGCUAAGCAAUUCAUAGUCAAAAUCCUAUCAUGCUGAUCAAAGCAAAAUCUUUGUAUUCGUUCUUCCAUUCAACAAACUUUUGUCUUUUACUGUAUGCCAAGCACAUGAUAGUGAAUAAUGAAAAAGAGAAAAAUUAAAAACAAAAUGAGCCCUCAAACACCAGACAACAUCUCCUCUACUAUAAAGACAAUAAUGAUACUGCUUGUAAACGGUUGGUCCAGUGUCAUUGGUACACAAGACAUUUUCACUAUUUGGUUCUCAUGAUAACUCUGCAUUUUGCAUUUUCUUUUCUACAAGCAAAGAACUGAAGUUGACAGAUAAUUAGUCACAUGCUUAAGAUUAUAGUCAAUAUACCCAUGGGAUGUGAACUAGUUGUUGGCUCCAAGUUUUAAACUUGUCCCAUGAUGUUAUGUAUCUACAAACAAAACACUGAGCAGAUGAGAUGACUCAGAGUGAAGGGUACUUGCUGCCAAGCCUGAUGACCCAAGUUGGAUUGCUGGAAGCCAUAUGGUGACAGACUUACACCUGAAAGUUGUCUUCUGAUUCCCACACAUAAAUAAAUUAAAUAACUGUAAUAAGGAAAA